rnacentral:rRNA from 1 species
UUUGAAAUCUGGCUCUUUCAGGGUCCGAGUUGUAAUUUGCAGAGGGCGCUUUGGCGUCGGCAGCAGCCUAAGUUCCUUGGAACAGGUCAUCAUAGAGGGUGAGAAUCCCGUAUGUGGCUGCUUGUCUUCACCGUGUAAAGCCCCUUCGAUGAGUCGAGUUGUUUGGGAAUGCAGCUCUAAAUGGGAGGUAAAUUUCUUCUAAAGCUAAAUAUUGGCCAGAGACCGAUAGCGCACAAGUAGAGUGAUCGAAAGAUGAAAAGCACUUUGGAAAGAGAGUCAAAAAGCACGUGAAAUUGUUGAAAGGGAAGCGCUUGCAGCCAGACGUGCCUGUAGUUGCUCAUCUGGGGAUUUCCCCAGUGCACUCUUCUAUAGGCAGGCCAGCAUCAGUUCGGGCGGUUGGAGAAAGACCUGUGUCACGUAGCUCUCUUCGGGGAGUGUUAUAGGGCAGGUGGAAUGCAACCAGCCUGGACUGAGGUCCGCGCAUCUGCUAGGAUGCUGGCGUAAUGGCUGUAAGCGGCCCGUCUUGAAACACGGACCAAGGAGUCUAACAUCUAUGCGAGUGUUUGGGUGUCAAGCCCGAGCGCGUAAUGAAAGUGAACGGAGGUGGGAACCCCUCGGGGUGCACCAUCGACCGAUCCUGAUGUCUUCGGAUGGAUUUGAGUAAGAGCAUAGCUGUUGGGACCCGAAAGAUGGUGAACUAUGCCUGAAUAGGGUGAAGCCAGAGGAAACUCUGGUGGAGGCUCGCAGCGGUUCUGACGUGCAAAUCGAUCGU